GAUGAACGCUGGCGGCGUGCCUAAUACAUGCAAGUCGAGCGAACAGAUGAGGAGCUUGCUCCUCUGACGUUAGCGGCGGACGGGUGAGUAACACGUGGAUAACCUACCUAUAAGACUGGGAUAACUUCGGGAAACCGGAGCUAAUACCGGAUAAUAUAUUGAACCGCAUGGUUCAAUAGUGAAAGACGGUUUUGCUGUCACUUAUCGAUGGAUCCGCGCCGCAUUAGCUAGUUGGUAAGGUAACGGCUUACCAAGGCAACGAUGCGUAGCCGACCUGAGAGGGUGAUCGGCCACACUGGAACUGAGACACGGUCCAGACGCCUACGGGAGGCAGCAGUAGGGAAUCUUCCGCAAUGGGCGAAAGCCUGACGGAGCAACGCCGCGUGAGUGAUGAAGGUCUUCGGAUCGUAAAACUCUGUUAUUAGGGAAGAACAAAUGUGUAAGUAACUAUGCACGUCUUGACGGUACCUAAUCAGAAAGCCACGGCUAACUACGUG
rnacentral:rRNA from 1 species